rnacentral:rRNA from 1 species
UACGUAGGGUGCGAGCGUUGUCCGGAAUUAUUGGGCGUAAAGAGCUCGUAGGCGGCUUGUCGCGUCGGAUGUGAAAGCCCGGGGCUUAACUCCGGGUCUGCAUUCGAUACGGGCAGGCUAGAGUUCGGUAGGGGAGAUCGGAAUUCCUGGUGUAGCGGUGAAAUGCGCAGAUAUCAGGAGGAACACCGGUGGCGAAGGCGAAUCUCUGGGCCGAUACUGACGCUGAGGAGCGAAAGCGUGGGGAGCGAACAGG